GAGGGUGUAGCUCAGUGGUAGAGCACUUGCCUAGCAAGGCACAAGUGAUCUGGGUUCAAUGCCCAACACUAUCA
rnacentral:tRNA from 1 species